ACGAACGCUGGCGGCGUGCUUAACACAUGCAAGUCGAACGGUGAAGCGCCUUCCUUUUUGGUGGGUGUGGAUGAGUGGCGAACGGGUGAGUAACACGUGAGUAACCUGCCCCCUUCUUCUGGAUAACCGCAUGAAAGUGUGGCUAAUACGGGAUAUUCUGGGUCUGUCGCAUGAUGGGUCUGGGAAAGAUAUUGUUUCGGUGGGGGAUGGGCUCGCGGCCUAUCAGCUUGUUGGUGGGGUGAUGGCCUACCAAGGCGGUGACGGGUAGCCGGCCUGAGAGGGUGGACGGUCACACUGGGACGGAGACACGGCCCAGACUCCGACGGGAGGCAGCAGUGGGGAAUAGUGCACAAUGGGCGCAAGCCUGAUGCAGCGACGCCGCGUGAGGGAUGGAGGCCUUCGGGUUGUGAACCUCUUUCGCCAGUGAAGCAGGCCUGCCUCGUUUGUGGGUGGGUUGACGGUAGCUGGAGAAGAAGCGCCGGCUAACUACGUG
rnacentral:rRNA from 1 species